rnacentral:rRNA from 1 species
UACGAAGGGUGCAAACGUUGCUCGGAAUUAUUGGGCGUAAAGAGCUCGUAGGCGGUUUGUCGCGUCUGCUGUGAAAACCCGAGGCUCAACCUCGGGCCUGCAGUGGGUACGGGCAGACUAGAGUGCGGUAGGGGAGAUUGGAAUUCCUGGUGUAGCGGUGGAAUGCGCAGAUAUCAGGAGGAACACCAAUGGCGAAGGCAGAUCUCUGGGCCGUAACUGACGCUGAGGAGCGAAAGCAUGGGGAGCGAACAGG